rnacentral:lncRNA from 1 species
GUUGCACUAUGUAGUAGUAAAUAAUUAUAUUAUAAUUUAAAUUAUAAUGUAAUUGUUUGAUAGCUAAUUUGCAUAAUCCAUAAGUGCAAUAGAGAGAGGAAUGAAUUUAUCUCAAUUCUGGAAGCAAUAUAAUAUUUAUGAUACCAUUGUUGCACUUAUGGGAUGAUGUUUUAGAUAUCUGUAUGAAACAGGUAUGGAAAUAACUGUCCACAAUUUCUCUAUAGGAAAAAUGUCUUAACUCCUGAAAACAUUUCAAAUUAAAUUAUAUAACAAGUACAAAAAUUGAAUCUUGAAAUAAAUAAGUGAUAUUAUUCAAAUCACUGGGGGAAGAGUUGUCAAAUGAAAAUUUAAUUGAAAUGGAGAGACAGACCACAGCUGAAGAAAUAAUAGAAAAUAAUAAAUCAUUUCCAGAACUCAACAUUUCAUAUUAAAAGAAAUGGAUACAACCUUUUGUGACAUCACUUCAAGAGUUAAUCAUCGUGAAAAUAUGGAUUUGAAAUCCCCCUGGUUCAAAAAGUUUAAUAAAAUGAUUCAUGUUGCCCUUUCUUGUUAUACAGAGAUUUAUGAAGAAAAAAAGAAAAUCACUAUCCAAUCACCAGUAAAAAAAUAUUUAAUAAAGAAUAUAUCCAUUCCAAUUAAGUUUUCUGAUCUUUCAAAAGCAUAAACUUUCGCAGCAUCUUUUUCUUGUGUUGCAUCUACA